GCGCUGCCGGCCCGCGCUAUAGAAGGGCCGGCGGGGCAGCCUGGCUCGUGGUUUCCCCUGGUGCGGAGGCGAGUUGUGCUUCCUGCUGGGAGAGAGAACGGCCUUGGGAAGCUGCUCCAUGACCCACAGCUGUGCCGAGCCCGGGACUUGGUCCAGACUUCACAAAGCUCCCAGGAAAGGAAG